GGUUAAGUGACUAAGCGUACACGGUGGAUGCCUUGGCAGUCAGAGGCGAUGAAAGACGUAGUAACUUGCGAUAAGCCCAGAUUAGGUAGUAACAACCAUUUGAGUCUGGGAUUUCUGAAUGGGGAAACCCACGUGCAUAAGCACGUAUCCUUACCUGAAUACAUAGGGUAAGGAGGCGAACCGGGG
rnacentral:rRNA from 1 species